rfam:Ictidomys tridecemlineatus contig000658, whole genome shotgun sequence.
GGGAAUGUAGCUCAGUGGUAGAGCACUAGCCCAGGUAACAUGCAUGAGGCCCUGGGUUCUGUCCCCAGCAUUGUCA